AGAGACAGCAGUAGCCGCGGGAAUACGGAGGGGGCUAGCGUUGUUCGGAAUUAUUGGGCGUAAAGCGCACGUAGGUGGCUUUGUAAGUCAGAGGUGAAAGCCUGGAGCUCAACUCCAGAACUGCCUUUGAGACUGCAUCGCUUGAAUCCAGGAGAGGUCAGUGGAAUUCCGAGUGUAGAGGUGAAAUUCGUAGAUAUUCGGAAGAACACCAGUGGCGAAGGCGGCUGACUGAACUGGUAUUGACGCUGAGGUGCGAAAGCGUGGGGAGCAAACAGGAUUAGAUACCCCGGUAGUCCCUGUCUCUUAUAA
rnacentral:rRNA from 1 species